rnacentral:rRNA from 1 species
UACGUAGGUGGCAAGCGUUGUCCGGAAUUAUUGGGCGUAAAGCGCGCGCAGGCGGUUUCUUAAGUCUGAUGUGAAAGCCCACGGCUCAACCGUGGAGGGUCAUUGGAAACUGGGAAACUUGAGUGUAGAAGAGAAGAGCGGAAUUCCACGUGUAGCGGUGAAAUGCGUAGAGAUGUGGAGGAACACCAGUGGCGAAGGCGGCUCUUUGGUCUGUAACUGACGCUGAGGCGCGAAAGCGUGGGGAGCGAACAGG